UAUUCACAAUAUAUGUAUGGAAUAUUAGGAGACAGAUUAAUUUCCAUAAAGACAGACUGUAGGUUUUAUUAACAGGCAAAGUAUCAGCACAGCUGUAAUAAUUCUGUAUUUACUGAGGUACCUAUAGUUUUUGUACAUUAUUUAGCACAUGAAACAAUCAUUUCAAAGGUAACCAUGCUUCAAUUAAAUCAAGAUGCAUUUAUCUCAUACAUUGUGUGUAAAAUAUAGAGGCAAAUUGAAACAAUCACAUUUAUUGAGUUUUUUUUUUUUAACUGGGUUGAAGAACACAAUGCCAAUCAAAUAAAACACCACAAAUAAAACCAGUGAAAACACAAUGGGAAAUCAGCUAUCUGGAGCUUAGACACCAGACUUACUAUCUCAAAAUUAAACAGUGAAGUAGGACAACCACCACGAAGUUAAAACUUAUAUUUUAUUCAUUACCAGGUCUCUUCAUAAUACUGUGAGAACAGAGCUUAUGAAUCAUGAGGGGUUUACCAGUCACCCACUUGGUUAAGUAACUACCCCCAAAGAGUCAUCUCUGAAAGUUCAAUACUGUAUCUUGAAAAUGAGCAGAAUGGAGUUGAUGUAUAUCACAAUAUUCUCAAAACCUCAACAAAGGCAACUCAACUGCCUGAGAUUGGUACUGUUGACCAAAGUCCUUGUACCCAUGUGACUUGGGUUUUCCAGAGUUUGACUAUGUCAGGUAGUUGUGUUUCUCCAGGAAAUAAACCAAAAGUUGUAUCACUUAUGACCCAAGUUUGUCAGGUCACAAGAAGGUAUUAUUUUUAAACCACCCCAAAUCCAAGGGAAAGGAAACAACAUUCUACCUUUUGAUAGAGAAUGGACAGAUCACAAUGGAUAAAUAAGAUAGGGAAGACUGGAAAUCCUUGGAAGACACAAUCUGCUUACUGAGCAAACAUCCACAUCCUUUUAACAGGCCAUAUUACACUCAGUCCCAAAGGUGUCUGUGGUCUCAUUUAAGUCUGACAUUAGGAUAAAGUCUUGGCUUGCAUCACUUACCUAAGCCUAUCCCAGCAUGGUGGCAAUUACUUGUAAUCCUAGCAUUCAGGAGGUAGAAGCAGGAAGAUUGAGAUUGAGGAUCAAACUUUUGUGACCAACCUAGUCCACAUAGAGGUUCAAGGCCAGCAUGAACUGUCUAGAUAAGAUACUGGCCCAAAAAUAAAUAAAUAAUUUAAUUAACUAAAAUAAUCAAGAAUAAAUAAUAAGUCAGUUCCAGGUGAAGAUUGGGCUUUCUGGUGUUCAAGCACAUUUCUUCUGAGGACCUACAAAAUAAAGUAGUAGGUUAGCCUCACAAUCAUUCAACACCCAUUGUGAGGCAAGCACAAAGUAACUCUUGCAGACAUUCACAUUCUAAAGACAGACAUUGGGAAUGCACACAGACAGACAUG
rnacentral:lncRNA from 1 species